AUACGGAGGGUGCAAGCGUUACUCGGAAUCACUGGGCGUAAAGCGCGCGUAGGCGGCUUUGUAAGUCGGAUGUGAAAGCCCUGGGCUCAACCUGGGAAUGGCAUUCGAUACUGCAGAGCUAGAGUAUGGUAGAGGGAAGUGGAAUUUCCGGUGUAGCGGUGAAAUGCGUAGAUAUCGGAAGGAACAUCAGUGGCGAAGGCGACUUCCUGGAUCAAGACUGACGCUGAGGUGCGAAAGCGUGGGGAGCAAACAGGAUUAGAAACCCCGGUAGUCC
rnacentral:rRNA from 1 species